rnacentral:rRNA from 1 species
CCUACGGGAGGCUGCAGUGGGGAAUAUUGGACAAUGGGCGAAAGCCUGAUCCAGCCAUGCCGCGUGUGUGAAGAAGGCCUUCGGGUUGUAAAGCACUUUCAGUGGGGAAGAAAGCCUUGGGGCUAAUACCCUCGAGGAAGGACAUCACCCACAGAAGAAGCACCGGCUAACUCCGUGCCAGCAGCCGCGGUAAUACGGAGGGUGCGAGCGUUAAUCGGAAUUACUGGGCGUAAAGCGCGCGUAGGCGGUCUGAUAAGCCGGUUGUGAAAGCCCCGGGCUCAACCUGGGAACGGCAUCCGGAACUGUCAGGCUAGAGUGCAGGAGAGGAAGGUAGAAUUCCCGGUGUAGCGGUGAAAUGCGUAGAGAUCGGGAGGAAUACCAGUGGCGAAGGCGGCCUUCUGGACUGACACUGACGCUGGGGUGCGAAAGCGUGGGUAGCAAACAGGAUUAGAUACCCCUGUAGUC